GUGCAGGUGCACCUAGAUCUAGGUGCACGCGCCUGUACCAUCCGCGCGUUGCUUAUCUUCCCUAAUUUUGUGAGUUUCGUUUUGAAAAAAAUUAAUUACCCAGAUGUUCGACUUGUAUAGCUUGCACGAAUCAAUUCAAUGGCGGAUCUCUUGGUCCUCACCAACAUCAACCGGAUGAAGAUGGUGAUAUUGUUGCAACACCCAGCAAAAAGCAACCCAUCAAAGCCCUGACAUCCCAAAUAACUUAAAGGGGAUGGCAAUGAAGGCAUCUGGGGCAUACAAGAACUGCAAGCCAUGUGCCGGAGGGAGGAGUGAGAAUUGGAAGAGUUGUGAGGAAUCAAAUGGUGGGUCUGUUUCUUCAAGGAGAUUCAAAGAGCGGAUUCCACGGUGGUAGGUAUGGCGAAGAUUUGAGGGAAGGAAUCGGGAUGGAGGGUUAUGGUAAGGGAAUUAGGAUGGGGAUUAUGAGCGGCAAGGCAACGCCGGUGUCGAUUAGUGGGAGGUCGGAAUCAGUGGUGUUUAUGGAGGAGGAUGAGCCUAAAGAGUGGGUUGCUCAGGUGGAGCUUGGAGUUCUCAGUUUCAGGAGGAUCUCUCAGUGCAGAUUAGGACUUCAAAAUGACAUUUUAAGGAGGCUGAAGAGGAACAAUAUCGAGUUGGAAUUGAAGCUCACAAGACUAACAAGAAAAACAUCAGAUUCACAAGUAUUUUUUCAUCACCUGAGGGAAGUUAUACUUUCAACCCGUCACCAAAAUUGGCUCCAUCAAAUGGAUCAUUUAAUGUGAUGCAAACACAUGCCCUUGAUUUUGCUGGUAUGGAGGAUGAGGUGCAGCCCCUUAGUAUUGCAGUUAUAGAAGCCACAAGUACCUCUCCAUAACGCAAAUAUUUCCAGCAUAUAUUACAAUGGCUUUCUCUCUGAGGCGAGUUCGAGGAAUCCCUCAAGGAAUCAUUCACAAGUAUGGUUUGAUAUGUUGCAUGCAGUUCUUCCGUAGGAAUGUUAAGGAAAUUGGUUUCAUCAAGAGUUGUACGUUGCCACAAAGUUAGGCCAGGAACUAUCACGACUGUUCUUUAUGCUAUUAGGAUUGUCGUGUUUAAUUUCUCUAAACUUAGCCAUGUAUUUUUUAUGCUUAGCCAUGAUUUCUAUAUAUGUAACCUACAUCAAGUAAUUAGCCGUGUUUCUUUUCUUGAUUUCAA